CUUGUCUAUUUUUGAUGUUCGUGCUAUGCUAGAUCAUAGCACAUCCUCGUACACUACCAGAGGCAUUCAUAUAGAGUCAUAUCAUCCUAUCAGUUUUCAUAUCGAGUUAUAAGUAAAUAGAAGUGCGAUGAUCAUCAUUAUUAGAGCAUUGUCCAAGUUAGGAAACGAUGGUGGAGACUAUGAUUCCCCGAUAAGUCCGGACAAAAAAUGAAAAAAAGGGGGAUGCCAAAUGAGCCCAGCACAAAAAAAG
rnacentral:lncRNA from 1 species